GAUGAAGAACGUAGCGAAAUGCGAUAAGUAGUGUGAAUUGCAGAAUUCCGUGAAUCAUCGAAUCUUUGAACGCACAUUGCGCCUUCUGGUAUUCCGGAAGGCAUGCCUGUUCGAGAGUCAUUAACAACCGUUUCGAUCCCUUUCUUUCAGAAAUUACAAAGAGGAAAAGGGUUUGGUUAUGGUGGAGGAGGGAAAGGGAGCGUUUAGCCUGUAAAAAAAGAGGCUGUGUUCCGCCUCCCCCCCAAAAUUGUACAGGCGGUCGUGUGCGCCCACGCAUCGAGGUGUUGUAAAAGCUGCCACGGCACUUUUCACCUGUGCAGUGCGAGAUUGGCCAGCCGGUUUAAAAACCCCUCCAAACAAUCAACGGUUGACCUCGGAUCAGGUAGGGAUACCCGCUGAACUUAAGCAUAUCAAUAAGCGGAGGA
rnacentral:misc_RNA from 1 species